rnacentral:rRNA from 1 species
AUACAUGCAGUCGAGCGAAUCGGAGGGAGCUUGCUCCCAAAGAUUAGCGGCGGACGGGUGAGUAACACGUGGGCAACCUGCCUGUAAGACUGGGAUAACUUCGGGAAACCGGAGCUAAUACCGGAUAAUCCUUUCCCUCACAUGAGGGAAAGCUGAAAGACGGUUUCGGCUGUCACUUACAGAUGGGCCCGCGGCGCAUUAGCUAGUUGGUGAGGUAACGGCUCACCAAGGCGACGAUGCGUAGCCGACCUGAGAGGGUGAUCGGCCACACUGGGACUGAGACACGGCCCAGACUCCUACGGGAGGCAGCAGUAGGGAAUCUUCCGCAAUGGACGAAAGUCUGACGGAGCAACGCCGCGUGAGCGAAGAAGGCCUUCGGGUCGUAAAGCUCUGUUGUCAGGGAAGAACAAGUGCCGGAGUAACUGCCGGCACCUUGACGGUACCUGACCAGAAAGCCACGGCUAACUACGUGCCAGCAGCCGCGGUAAUACGUAGGUGGCAAGCGUUGUCCGGAAUUAUUGGGCGUAAAGCGCGCGCAGGCGGUCCUUUAAGUCUGAUGUGAAAGCCCACGGCUCAACCGUGGAGGGUCAUUGGAAACUGGGGGACUUGAGUGCAGAAGAGGAGAGUGGAAUUCCACGUGUAGCGGUGAAAUGCGUAGAGAUGUGGAGGAACACCAGUGGCGAAGGCGACUCUCUGGUCUGUAACUGACGCUGAGGCGCGAAAGCGUGGGGAGCGAACAGGAUUAGAUACCCUGGUAGUCCACGCCGUAAACGAUGAGUGCUAAGUGUUAGAGGGUUUCCGCCCUUUAGUGCUGCAGCAAACGCAUUAAGCACUCCGCCUGGGGAGUACGGCCGCAAGGCUGAAACUCAAAGGAAUUGACGGGGGCCCGCACAAGCGGUGGAGCAUGUGGUUUAAUUCGAAGCAACGCGAAGAA